GAAGGGGAAAAUGAAGCUCUUCAGCCAGAAUCGUAGCAUUGCCAUCAAGGUUUCACUCUUGCCCUCUUGAAUGUGGGCAUGCAUGUAACUUAUCUUGUAAAAUUAGAUGGUGUCUGAGGCAGUUUCUGGGUCCGGAGAAAAAAUCUGCACCAAUAUGUGCAUCCCUCCUUCUCUUUUUUGUUCCUUCCUUACAUUCAUCUUACUGCAACCCAUCUUUCUCUUCUUUGUCUAUUCUCUUCAAAUAAUUACAAGCUUAAAUUAUGCCUUUUACUUGCACUUCUUUGAGGGGCUUCAUUGAAAUAGAAGCUUUACAUACUGCUUUGGCAUUGGUUUCUCUCUUCAACUCUGAUCCAGAAGGUACCAAUGAACCACCUUACCUUUGUGCUUGUUGUCUAGGCCGGGUUAUUAAAAUAAUUUCUUUGCUUACCACCCCGAACCUCAUAGUUGUAAUUUGAUAUUGUGGUUUAGUAAUGGUACUUCCCAGUUUAGUGCUCCCACUGAGACUCUCCAAAUCAUGAGCUGCUCACUCAGUCCCCCUCCUGUGUGGUGGGCUGGAGAGGAGAAUUAGAGGCACAAAAGGUAAAGAUCACAGGGUUGAGAUAAGAACAAUUUACUGGAAACAGCAAUGAGAUAAGAAAACUAACAGUAAAAGCAACAAUACUAAUGGCAGAGGGUGCAAGAAAUGAAGGAUUCAUGCGGAAACCCCUCGACAAUAGACAACAUCCAACCACUUGACAACUUCCUCCUCCACACUGCUUGACUGAAAGGGACCCUAUUUUCCCUGGAAGAGAAUCCCUCCACCCCACCCCCAGCAAUGAUGCGAGGUGGUGUAGAAUAACUUCUGGGUCCUAGCCAUGCUCCCUUCUAAGUACU